UUUUUUCGCCACCUCUUUAGCCAAAACAAUAUAUUUUUCGCCACUUUAUUAUUUUUUUCGCCAAAUAUAUUUUUCUAAUAAAAUUUUAUUCCCCCCCCCCUUUCCGCUAAACAAGAAGUGAUUUUUACAACAAAACGAAGAAUCUUAUCACAUGGAAUUGAUCCCUCGUGUAAGGUGUAGUCAUUACAUUGAAGGGUUACUCUCAUGACAACCACUUGAAUAUAUUUCUUCAUAAUGACAGUUUUCUUUUCUAGACCAUCGUAAAUAAGUAAAACUAUAUGCUUGAAACACAUGUGUUACUGAAACGACUUUGAAGUACUCACUCAAUGAUCUAUAGGAAAGUUAAAUGAUAAAGUUUUAAAUCAGCGACCUUUCUAGCUUUUGAACAUUUUUCGUCAUAACAACAAUUUUCUUUUCAAAAGAAGGAGAGGAAGCGUAAACUUUGCUUCAAACUCGUGCGUCGCAAAGCGGUAAAUAAAUCCCUUUUAUGACAUGCGAAAGAAGCCAUUUAACCAUAUCUAUUUGUCAUAUCAUACAAUCAACACCUUUAUUAAUAAGUCCUUUGAUGUCGAUAGCUAUAAAUGCAAUCAGCUGAUUAUUGAAUUUCUGUCAAAAUCUUAACGAGUUCAAGGUGAAUUCCGAGUAUUGUCUGAUCGGUAAACAUGGUAAAGUCAGAGAAACCCGAAAAAGGAAA
rnacentral:lncRNA from 1 species